rnacentral:lncRNA from 10 species
CUCAAAUAUCAUUAAUUUCUUUCUUGAAAUAAAAUAUUUAUGAAGCCCAGCUGGGUAAUAUGUGCGUUGACAGCGAGAGGCAGAACAAGGAGUACCAGGGGGUUAUGGACUUCACCUCACAGCUGGAGUAGGAGAUCUCUCUGUAUUGCAACCAGCUAGAAGGCCAGGAAUAUUGCUACAACAACCUGCCCAACUCCAAGGUCCUCUGA